AUCAUGUCCAUGUUAUUAUCAUAUUCAACCUGUUAUAUAAACAUCUUCUGCAUGAUUAUUUUUGAACCGUUUGCAAAGAAUGGUUUCUUUCUAAAUGUGUUUCAGGCGACCAUUAUGCAAGCAUCCGUGAACGUGAGCCGACUAGCAACUUACGGGCCUUAUCUCUGGGCUUGUUCAAUGUAUUCUUUCACCAGUUUUGAUGUAACUCAAUGUAAUCAGAACUUCAGGCUCUCGCACUCCUCUCUGCUGAUUCGAUUCAGUGACGCUACCACUCUUGCUGAGUUAACUGAACCAUCUUCUCCAAUACCUAAAGAAUGUUUCAGGUUCCGUAAUCACAGCGAGAUGCUUGGUCUAGCCAACACCAAUACCCAACUUCCAGAUAUUAUUGGUGAGAUAACUGCUGUUAAGAGAAAGUUCUAUUUCGCUUGAAUGGCUAACUCAUCUAUAUUGCUCGCUGAAGGCUGGCCAGAGAUGGGUUCUUCUUCUGUUUUGAACAGGAAAAUCUGAGGAUUCAGAGGUGCUCGAAACCAAAGGGUAUCUCCUCAUCAUUCUCUUCCCGACUAUAUCACCUUUGCCGGAGAUGCGUUCUUCUUCUGUUUUGGAGAGUGGAAUCUGAUGAUUCAAAAGUGUUAAAGCUUUGGAGACUCCGGGAGUAAGUAAGGAGACUCCAUCGGCUCGAGAGGCAUCUCCAAUGGCCGGUAAACAAGGUCUGUCUUGCAACUCGGAACCAUGGCUUUUUCCAUUUAGACAGAGGUGAAGGAAGUGAGAGAGAAAGUGGAGGUCAAGAAAGAGACGUAUAGUAUUGGGAGGAGACUUUUGGUAAUGUGUUUGAUUUUGGCCUUAAUGGAGGUCUUCUUUCAAGAUCACGUUUUGGGUAUGAUAUUCUUUCAUCCCGAAGCUUUUUAUGUACUUUUGUGUGCGUUGUUCCUAUUAUGUGCACCUUUAGCCUGGCUGCAGAGUUUGUCAACAUGCUAAGAACCAAAACUAAGCCUUCUGUUUAUGUUUUUUCCCUUGCUUUUAGAUUCAUUUUGUUGCCAUGCAUGCUGGUACUGGUUCUUAUGCGAGACCAAAUUUUGCCGAUUAUCUUGGAGCCAAACCAGGAUGUCUUGGUCACUAAGAUGUAUAUUACAUUCAGUUUUCGAACCUCCAGAGAUUUCAGAUGAUUGAUGUUGGAAAGUUUUGUAGGAUUCAAUUUCCAAUAGAGUUCCUCUAGAAGAUUUUGGACAUGGCCAUCCAGAUCCUAAUUUGACGUAAGAAAAAAACUAAGGGGAAGACUCACCAUAUACACUUAGUAUAUAAUUUUAUAAACCGUCUUAUAUAUAGAUACGCAAAUUGCCAGUGUAUAGAACACCAAGUCAAGAACAAU